rnacentral:rRNA from 1 species
GACGAACCGUGCGAACGUUGUUCGGAUUCACUGGGCUUAAAGGGCGCGUAGGCGGUCGGCCAAGUCUGGGGUGAAAUCUUUCGGCUCAACCGGAAAAGUGCCCCCGAUACUGGCCGUCUAGAGGGAGGUAGGGGCAUGUGGAACUUCCGGUGGAGCGGUGAAAUGCGUAGAUAUCGGAAGGAACGCCGGUGGCGAAAGCGACGUGCUGGACCUCAUCUGACGCUGAGGCGCGAAAGCCAGGGGGAGCAAACGGGG